GACGAACGCUGGCGGCGUGCCUAACACAUGCAAGUCAACUUGACUGAAGGAGCAAUCUGACAGUAGAGUGGCGCAAGGGUGCGUAACGCGUAAGUAACUUGCCCAAGGUAAGGAAUAACGUCGAGAAUCGGCGCUAAUACCUCAUAAUGCAGCGGAUCCGCAUGGAUAUGUUGUUAAAAGGGUUUUACCCGCCUUUGGGGAUAGGCUUGCGUCUGAUUAGCUAGUUGGUGUGGUAAACGGCACACCAAGGCUACGAUCAGUAACUGGUCUGAGAGGAUGAUCAGUCACACUGGAACUGAGACACGGUCCAGACUCCUACGGGAGGCAGCAGUGAGGAAUAUUGGGCAAUGCUCGAAAGAGUGACCCAGCAACGCCGCGUGAGGAUGAAGGUAUUCUAUAUCGUAAACUCCUGU
rnacentral:rRNA from 1 species